rnacentral:rRNA from 1 species
UACAGAGGUCCCAAGCGUUGUUCGGAUUCAUUGGGCGUAAAGGGCGCGUAGGCGGGCUGCCGCGUCCGGGGUGAAAUCCUCCGGCUCAACCGGAGAACGGCCCCGGGUACGGGCGGCCUCGAGGGGGGUAGGGGCGUGCGGAACUGUGGGUGGAGCGGUGAAAUGCGUUGAUAUCCACAGGAACUCCGGUGGCGAAGGCGGCACGCUGGACCCCAUCUGACGCUGAGGCGCGAAAGCCAGGGGAGCGAACGGG